CCACCUAUCAUUGUCGCCCCCUCCUCCUCCUCCUCCAUAUUCUUUUUAUUUCACUCCGUUCUCACCUAUUUUUUUCUUCUUUUUUUUUUGCAACACCACCACCCUUUCUACUUUUUACUUUAACUUCCUCCACUAUGACCGAACCCUCCACCAUUGACCACCGUACCUCAUGGCCACCACACCUCUUUUUCCACCUCUUCCUCUUCCCGUCGUCGCCCAUCACCACCGUGACCACCACGACAAACCAUCGUGGUUUUCUUUUCUCUUGUAUUCCUCUUUCUUUCAUCAUAAUAUUUCACCUUUGUUUUA
rnacentral:lncRNA from 1 species